CUUGGUCAUUUAGAGGAAGUAAAAGUCGUAACAAGGUUUCCGUAGGUGAACCUGCGGAAGGAUCAUUACCGAGUGAGGGCCCUUUGGGUCCAACCUCCCACCCGUGUUUAUUUUACCUUGUUGCUUCGGCGGGCCCGCCUUUACUGGCCGCCGGGGGGCUCACGCCCCCGGGCCCGCGCCCGCCGAAGACACCCCCGAACUCUGUCUGAAGAUUGAAGUCUGAGUGAAAAUAUAAAUUAUUUAAAACUUUCAACAACGGAUCUCUUGGUUCCGGCAUCGAUGAAGAACGCAGCGAAAUGCGAUACGUAAUGUGAAUUGCAAAUUCAGUGAAUCAUCGAGUCUUUGAACGCACAUUGCGCCCCCUGGUAUUCCGGGGGGCAUGCCUGUCCGAGCGUCAUUGCUGCCCUCAAGCCCGGCUUGUGUGUUGGGCCCCGUCCUCCGAUUCCGGGGGACGGGCCCGAAAGGCAGCGGCGGCACCGCGUCCGGUCCUCGAGCGUAUGGGGCUUUGUCACCCGCUCUGUAGGCCCGGCCGGCGCUUGCCGAUCAACCCAAAUUUUUAUCCAGGUUGACCUCGGAUCAGGUAGGGAUACCCGCUGAACUUAAGCAUAUCAAUAAGCGGAGGAA
rnacentral:rRNA from 1 species